UCGAAAAAAAAAUGUUUUCAAUAAAUAAACGCCAAAAACACCUAGAAAAAGAAUUACAGCUAAGCCCGGCGUUUACUCUCUUCACUUUCAUUAUGAGUUUCUUCAUCAUUAACCUUUCAUUUGUAAAAAUAAUCUAAGGCUCUCAUCUUUACUAUGAUUAUGUCUAUAAAAAAAAUAAGGAACAAUUGAUUUAACGAUAUGAAAAAACAAUAACAAAUAACAAAACUCUACAAUUACAGAAUAACUCAUUUAACAGUAUCUAAAAAUUGAAAAUUAAAAUCAAAAGUGAAAACAAUACAUAAUCUAAAAUCUAUAACAAAUUACAAUUUACAAACUAACAAUCAACAUUGAAUUGAUUCCGAAAUCACAAAAAGUCAACAAGUGAGCAAACACAGGAGCAUAUUCGGUAGUCCUAAUUCCAUACAUACACUCCUAAUUUCUAAUCUCAAUUCCCAAAUCAGAAAUCGCAACCGGAGAACCAGAGAAGAAAGAAGUCAAGAACGACCCUUAAAUAUACUCUUAAUUCCUAAUCCCGGAUUCCCAAAUCAGAAAUCACAAGAGGAGAAUUGGAGAAGAAAGAACGAAUACCUGAUUUUCGGUGAGUGCUGGCUGUUACGGUGGAUCAGUGAAUGGCGAUUAGCGAGACCGGAGAGUCGGACACCGCGAAUCGCGAUACAGCAAGCAUCCUGACUCCAAUGAGGCGCGAGCGACGAUGGUCGAUGGGGACGGUCGGACCUCAGACGGAACUCAGGAACUAGGUCAAUUCACUUCUUGUCGCUUCAAUUUUUUAUUUAGAAAUUGGAUUGUGGAGAAAUCGGGAAGGGCCACAGCCCAAUUGUGAAAUUAACAAGCGUAUAAUAAAAAUUUUGGAGCAAUUUUUGCUAGUUCUAACCCAAAUGACAGGGGGCCACAGCCCCUCUUGGCCCUACUAAUACUCUGUCCCUGUUGGUAGUCAUGCAUGAGUUUUUGGUAUUUUUCCACAUUUUGACCUCAUUGGAGUAAAGGG
rnacentral:lncRNA from 1 species